ACUCCUACGGGAGGCAGCAGUGGGGAAUAUUGCACAAUGGGCGCAAGCCUGAUGCAGCCAUGCCGCGUGUGUGAAGAAGGCCUUCGGGUUGUAAAGCACUUUCAGUUGUGAGGAAGGUGGUGUCGUUAAUAGCGGCAUCAUUUGACGUUAGCAACAGAAGAAGCACCGGCUAACUCCGUGCCAGCAGCCGCGGUAAUACGGAGGGUGCGAGCGUUAAUCGGAAUUACUGGGCGUAAAGCGCAUGCAGGUGGUUUGUUAAGUCAGAUGUGAAAGCCCGGGGCUCAACCUCGGAACUGCAUUUGAAACUGGCAGACUAGAGUACUGUAGAGGGGGGUAGAAUUUCAGGUGUAGCGGUGAAAUGCGUAGAGAUCUGAAGGAAUACCAGUGGCGAAGGCGCCCCCCUGGACAAAGACUGACGCUCAGAUGCGAAAGCGUGGGGAGCAAACAGGAUUAGAUACCCUGGUAGCACAGAG
rnacentral:rRNA from 1 species